UACAGAGGUCUCGAGCGUUAGGCGGAAUCAUUGGGCGUAAAGCGCACGUAGGCGGUCCAGCAAGUCGGGUGUGAAAGCCCUCGGCUUAACCGAGGAAGUGCAUUCGAAACUACUGGACUUGAGUACUGAAGAGGAUCGCGGAAUUCCCGGUGUAGAGGUGAAAUUCGUAGAUAUCGGGAGGAACACCAGUGGCGAAGGCGGCGAUCUGGGCAGAUACUGACGCUGAGGUGCGAAAGCGUGGGGAGCAAACAGG
rnacentral:rRNA from 1 species